rnacentral:rRNA from 1 species
GGUAACGGCCCACCAAGGCAACGAUCAGUAGGGGUUCUGAGAGGAAGGUCCCCCACAUUGGAACUGAGACACGGUCCAAACUCCUACGGGAGGCAGCAGUGAGGAAUAUUGGUCAAUGGACGAGAGUCUGAACCAGCCAAGUAGCGUGCAGGAAGACGGCCCUAUGGGUUGUAAACUGCUUUUAUAAGGGAAUAAAGUGAGAGUCGUGACUCUUUUUGCAUGUACCUUAUGAAUAAGGACCGGCUAAUUCCGUGCCAGCAGCCGCGGUAAUACGGAAGGUCCGGGCGUUAUCCGGAUUUAUUGGGUUUAAAGGGAGCGUAGGCCGGAGAUUAAGCGUGUUGUGAAAUGUAGACGCUCAACGUCUGCACUGCAGCGCGAACUGGUUUCCUUGAGUACGCACAAAGUGGGCGGAAUUCGUGGUGUAGCGGUGAAAUGCUUAGAUAUCACGAAGAACUCCGAUUGCGAAGGCAGCUCACUGGAGCGCAACUGACGCUGAAGCUCGAAAGUGCGGGUAUCGAACAGGAUUAGAUACCCUGGUAGUCCGCACGGUAAACGAUGGAUGCCCGCUGUUGGUCUGAAUAGGUCAGCGGCCAAGCGAAAGCAUUAAGCAUCCCACCUGGGGAGUACGCCGGCAACGGUGAAACUCAAAGGAAUUGACGGGGGCCCGCACAAGCGGAGGAACAUGUGGUUUAAUUCGAUGAUACGCGAAGAACCUUAUCCGGGCUUGAAUUGCAGAGGAAGGAUUUGGAGACAAUGACGCCCUUCGGGGCCUCUGUGAAGGUGCUGCAUGGUUGUCGUCAGCUCGUGCCGUGAGGUGUCGGCUUAAGUGCCAUAACGAGCGCAACCCCUCUCCUUAGUUGCCAUCAGGUUAAGCUGGGCACUCUGGGGACACUGCCACCGUAAGGUGUGAGGAAGGUGGGGAUGACGUCAAAUCAGCACGGCCCUUACGUCCGGGGCUACACACGUGUUACAAUGGCAGGUACAGAGAGACGGUCCCUUGCAAAACGGAUCAAAUCCUUAAAGCCUGUCUCAGUUCGGACUGGGGUCUGCAACCCGACCCCACGAAGCUGGAUUCGCUAGUAAUCGCGCAUCAGCCAUGGCGCGGUGAAUACGUUCCCGGGCCUUGUACACACCGCCCGUCAAGCCAUGAAAGCCGGGGGCGCCUAAAGUCCGUGACCGUAAGGAGCGGCCUAGGGCGAAACUGGUAAUUGGGGCUAAGUCGAAACAAGGUA